CUGUUGAUGAAAUACUCCGACGAUUAAUCACUAGAUCGGAGAAGGAGAACAAUCGUUUGUGCAUAAAAUCCAUGAAAUAACUGAUUAAAUAGAAACAAAGAUUCAGAAUCAAAUUUCUUUUGGAAUAAAAAUGGUGAAAGGAAAAAUGAAUCCCCCUAGAAAAGAUGAUACAAUUACAGGAAACCUAAGGCAGUCGUUGAAUGCAGUAAAGGAUUUAGUAAAGGUGAUAAAGCCUAUAGGACUGACUGAUAGGGCUCAUAGAUAUCUUAGGAGAGCUGCUUACGGAGAACUCGUAAUGAUGUAUUACGAUGACUAUGAUACAACUGUACCAACUACAACAAGACAGAUAACUACCAACAAACACGGCGUCUUGAAGCUCUUGAACUGCUUUGACAUGGA